rnacentral:rRNA from 1 species
UACGUAGGUGGCAGGCGUUGUCCGGAUUUAUUGGGUUUAAAGGGUGCGUAGGCGGCCCUGUAAGUCAGUGGUGAAAUAUCUCAGCUUAACUGAGAGGGUGCCAUUGAUACUGCAGGGCUUGAGUACAGAUGAAGUAGGCGGAAUUGACGGUGUAGCGGUGAAAUGCAUAGAUAUCGUCAAGAACACCGAUAGCGAAGGCAGCUUACUAAGCUGUAACUGACGCUGAGGCACGAAAGUGUGGGGAUCAAACAGG